rnacentral:rRNA from 1 species
GAUGAACGCUAGCGGGAGGCCUAACACAUGCAAGUCGAACGGGAUUGGUAGCAAUACCAUGAGAGUGGCGCACGGGUGAGUAACGCGUAUGCAACCUGCCUGUAACAGAGGGAUAGCCCAUAGAAAUGUGGAUUAAUACCUCAUAGUCCUGAGAAGUCGCAUGGCUUUUCAGGUAAAACUCUGGUGGUUACAGAUGGGCAUGCGUGACAUUAGCUAGUUGGUAAGGUAACGGCUUACCAAGGCAACGAUGUCUAGGGGUUCUGAGAGGAUGAUCCCCCACACUGGUACUGAGACACGGACCAGACUCCUACGGGAGGCAGCAGUGAGGAAUAUUGGUCAAUGGGCGCAAGCCUGAACCAGCCAUCCCGCGUGCAGGAUGACGGCCCUAUGGGUUGUAAACUGCUUUUAUACAGGAAGAAAAAUCUCUACGUGUAGGGACUUGCCGGUACUGUAUGAAUAAGCAUCGGCUAACUCCGUGCCAGCCGCCGCCGUAACAC